CGGUGCUGAUCCGUGUCUGUAGGGGGCGGGGCUUGAGAGAAGGGGUUUGAUGGGUAGGGUAGAGAGCGCUCUUUUUAAGGGAUGGCGGCAGGUCUAGCCUCUAGUGGAGCCGGAGGAGGUGGUGCGCGGGCGAAGGAGGGUACCAGCACAGGAGGGCUGGGUGGGAGGAGAAGCGAGUGGUGCGGCCGCGUCCGCCAGUGCGCCCGCAGGUAACUAGACGUUGAGAGUGGCGGAAGUAUUGCGAGUUCGCGGCGGGUGCCUAUCUGCUACCGAAGUCGGCACAGUUGCUCCAGCUCCUCAGGGAACUGGAUCGGGAACGGGAGUGGAAGCAGCCUCCGGAGCGGGUAGAGCUACCCCGGCCAAUGAAUAGAGAGCCCCUACGGGACGGGAGGGGACCGCACGACCCCUGGCUACUACGGGACAGAAGGGGACCGCACGACCCCUAGACCACCGCGGGCAGCUUGCAGCUCUCCACCGUGUCGGGGCGGUGUGUGAACAAGGAGGAGGAGUCCUAGGAGUUAAGGAGUAGAUUUUCGACACUAUAAAGGGAGGAAAUACCUACAUACCUUGACGCACUUACCCUGUCGCUUCGGUGACAGUACUUUGAACGUCUUACUACUGUCUCUAUAGCUUUCUAAAAGAUUUUACUCCACACUUUAUUUUCCGUUUACACUUCGAGAACGUAGUUAGGAGUCUGACUAAGGACGUUUAAAAGGAUGUCUUGAUGUUGUACCAUCAGAACUUCAUUUAUGGUAAAGAAAAUAAAAGAUACACAACAAUCGUGUUAUCUAUCAAUUAUAACAAAAAGGAGAGUUCAAGUUCUACUUCUGCUGGUCAAUUCUUUUGUCAAACCACUCUAUCUCACCGUCCAAACGAUCUUAGUGACAUCGACGAAGACGGCGUUUGAAUGCAAGUACGGAUACUGUAGAAGACCCUAGAAACAAAAUCCUUUGAUAAAACAAAUGUGGAAGGAUAACCGUACAGAUACCGUCGUCACUUUGAAUUUGCUUGUGAAGAUCCGAUCUAUAAUAAUUACACAUGUAUAUAACCAGGAAAUGUACCUAGAACGGUAGAAAUAAACGGUCAGUAAAGUUGAUAAACUGUUUGAACUUCCGUUCGAGUUCCUUUACGUAGUAAUGGAAAAUCAUAAUAAAAACUCAACAACCUUAGUUAGACCUUUUGUAGAAGGAUAACAUCUAUGUUAUAAACGACCAAACAUCAGACUAUGAGACAAACUGUAAUGUUUAAUGCCUUUAUGAAUCUAAUACGAAUACGGUGACACGACUAUCUCUAACCGAUGAAUUAUCAUACCUCUACUGUUCUAGCUUUUCCUGCCACUAUAUUCCUUUCGCCCCUCACCUCCUCCUUCUUUCAACCCUACGGUUAAUAUUUAUCCAAUUAUGAAGUUUAGAAAUACGUGAUUCCAUAAGAAACACAAUCUUUAUUAACAAAUUUUCCGAGUACUAAAACCGCUUUGACAUACUACAUACACACAAGGAAGUGUACCUGUUUAUACUUUCCCAUGGGUAAUACUUUAGUAUCUGGUCACUACAUAGUAAAGAAACAGAAAGAAUAACGUUUAUACCGAGUGUACCGGCGCGAGACGUCUUAUAUCUCAAACUACUACUACUACUAACCUUGGUUCUCCUCCUUCGUUCAUUCAAAGUAAACUAAAAGAUAAGUACUCCAAUGUCAUUGUUCUAUACAUUUCAGGCCUAACCAAAUGAAUAGUGAACAUACAAGGUAUGAACGUCAAAAAGUCAUGAAAGCAGAACAACGGAGAGUCACAUAGUGAUUUAUUAGUCACAAAAACCCAUGAACGAACAACAACGGAAAGUCACAUAGUGAUUUAUUAGUCAACUGGCCACAACCGUUACAACGUAGCUAAGAUAAAUAAAGACCAAGACAUACGGAGGGUUCGAUAUUGAAUAUGGGUUUUAAUAAUCGUAUGUUUAACCAUAGUCAACACCCUCUGAGCCGGUACGGCUGUUACGGAGGUUACACCACCGCCAGUACCACCUGCGGUGGUACACUCGAAGUCGAGUAACACCACAUCGGCCUCGCUAAAGGAAGCGACAACUUCAGGCCCUUCUAAAAAUACACUUACGUUAGGACAAAACGAUCCAGGGAUCGUAAUAAUUAAAAUAAAAAGACGGUUAUUGUUGGUUCAUUACACACGUACAGGUGCGGAACCUCAUUAAGAGCCAAUCAAUCUAGACUGGCGACGUACACGAAGCACCCUACGGUGCUUAGGUCACGUUCGUUGCAAUAACAGCAACCCAAGUCCACCUGUACCCUACCAAGUAAACUAUAUGGAUGAGUGAUCGAUGAAAGAGAGAAAAAGUCAUCGUGAACUGGUAUAUUUAUUCUCUUUUUUUGGUCUUUUGCGACGUUCUAAAAAUGCGUUACGUUUAAUGAACAGACGCACGAGCGCGCACAAAUAUGCACGCGAACAAGAAAACACAGGUUUAUGAACACAUCACAACACUCUCUCUAAGACGUUGAAGUCAAAAACAGUACGUCAAGGAAUUUUGCAUAUGUAGAGAACGUAGGAAAUCUAUGUAGUACACAUGUCCAUAUACAUGUCCCUCGUUCACGGUGUAACGAUGUAAAUUACGAAACCACACGAGAGUGCGAGGUACGGUAACAGGGUACGAGAUUUGACAUCUAUAACUGAUACUAUACUUUAACAUUAACGAGUAUUAAAUAUAAAAACUGUGUUCCGUCCUCGGUUCUUGUAGACACACUGUACCCUCGAGAAUUGUUACCAAUCGCAUACCAAGCGUUCAAUAAAGAGACCAAGUAGAGUUUAACUCGCAGAACUAUGAAGUAUACUUAUAAACCAACAUUGUUUAACAAAAGGCGUUCAGUGUUAAAAAACAUACGUUCUUUAUACAUAUUUUAAGGAGUUUCGUAACAUCUAUUCGUCGAAGUAUACAGACUCACAGACUAUACGGAAAGAAAAAGUCAAAAAGGACGGUCUUUCUUUCGUUCACUGGAUAAAUUAGAGUCUCUAUACAGGGUAAUAGUCAAAACUCCUCAGUAACAAGGUCAGUGUGUUUUACAACUGUCUACAUAGUAAAUGUUACUGGUAAGUUAACAUUAAAGUCACGGUACAGUAUUUUAAAGUUAAGUGGUCAAGUCGGGGAAGGUAUUCCAUCAAGAGAAAGAUACUAGACUUUAGUGUUUUAGGUAACGAACACUAAAUCAGCAGAUAUGGUCGUAUCGUUUAAUCGUUAACAUUUACUAACGGAUACCGCCACUUCAAUACACAACGAUGUUUUAGAAAGAGACGGUCAGAGUUACCCCGCUUUUUCAGUAGUUCAAAUAAGUAAGUAUGUUAAGAAAAACGAAACGUCUAUAACCUAGUUGUCAACCUUCACUUGGCACGUUAUGUAGUGAGAUUAUAAUCAAUAUUAGCCGACUGGUACAUCCUACAUGGCGAACACUACAUAAUGUGAGGUAUAGAGGAAUGUUAAACAUCGCACUUUAAAAAUAAGGAGAGUAAACAGGUAAAAAAAACAAGAUAGAGAAUUCGACCACUUAUCCUUCAAUACAACAAAGUCUACGAAUGACACACUACUUCGUCUACCACAAGGCUUUAGGUCGUAGACUG
rnacentral:rRNA from 1 species